rnacentral:lncRNA from 1 species
UGGGGGGUGGGGCUAGCCAACUUCAUCCGCCGGACUCGGACUCGGAAUGCCGUGAGGCUUUGUGAGGGGCCUCCGUGUAUAAACAAUAGGCCGCGGGCAAAGCCGCGCCCAAAAAUAACCGCCCGAAGGCUGGGGCGCACAGUUCGUCCAGCGGAAAAAGGCCACAAAAAAACGGGUGGGCUAUAGGCUUGGGGGGUGGGGCUGGCCAACUUCGUCCGCCUGACUCGGAAUGCCGCGAGACUUUGCGAGGGUCCUCUGUGUGCCAAAAAUAGGCCGCGGGCAAAGCCGCGCCCAAAAAUAACCGCCCGAAGGCCGGGGCGCCAAGUUUGUCCAGUGGAAAAAGGCCACAAAAACGGGUGGACUAUAGCCUUGGGGGGUGGGGCUGGCCAACUUCAUCCGCCGGACUCGGACUCGGAAUGCCGUGAGACUUUGCGAGGGGCCUCCGUGUACCAAAAAUAGGCCGCGGGCAAAGCCGCGCCCAAAAAUAACCGCCCGAAGGCUGGGGCGCACAGUUCGUCCAGCGGAGAAAGGCCACAAAAAAAUGGGUGGGCUAUAGCCUUGGGGGGUGGGGCUGGCCAACUUCGUCCGCCGGACUCGGAUUGCCGCGAGACUUUGCGAGGGGCCUCCGUGUGCCAAAAAUAGGCCACGGGCAAAGCCGCGCCCAAAAAUAACCGCCUGAAGGCCGGGGCGCCAAGUUCGUCCAGCGGAAAAAGGCCACAAAAACGGGUGGGCUAUAGCCUUGGGGGUUGGGGCUGGCCAACUUCGUCCGCCGGACUCGGAAUGCCGCGAGACUUUGUGAAGGGCCUCCGUGUAACAAAAAUAGGCCGCUGGCAAAGCCGCGCCCAAAAAUAACCACCCAAAGGCCGGGGCGCCAAUUUCGUCCAGCGGAAAAAGGCCACAAAAACGGGUGGGCUAUAGCCUUUUGGGGGUGGGGCUGGCCAACUUCGUCCGCCGGACUCAAACUCGUAAUGCCGCGAGACUUUGCGAGGGGCCUCCGUGUGCCAAAAAUAGGCCGCGGGCAAAGCCGCGCCCAAAACUAAACGCCCGAAGGCCGGGGCGCCAUGUUCGUCCGGCAGAAAAAGGCCACAAAAACGGGUGGGCUAUAGCCUUGGGAGGUGGGGCUGGCCAACUUCGUCCGCCGGACUCGGAAUGCCGCGAGACUUUACGAGGGGCCUCCGUGUGUCAAAAAUAGGCCGCGGGCACAGCCGCGCCCAAAAAUAACUGCCCGAAGGCCAGGACGCCAAGUUCGUCCAGCGGAAAAAGGCCACAAAAACGGGUGGGCUAUAGCCUUGGGGGGUGGGGCUGGCCAACUUCGUCCGCCGGACUCGGAAUGCCGCGAGACUUUGCGAGGCACCUCCGUGUGCCAAAAAUAGGCCGCGGGCACAGCUGCGCCCAAGAAGAACCCCCCGAUGGCCGGGGCGCCAAGUUCGUCCAGCGGAAAAAGGCCACAAAAACGGGUGGGCUAUAGCCUUGGGGGGUAGGGCUGGCCAACUUCGUCCGCCGGACUCGGAAUGGCGCGNNNNNNNNNNNNNNNNNNNNNNNNNNNNNNNNNNNNNNNNNNNNNNNNNNNNNNNNNNNNNNNNNNNNNNNNNNNNNNNNNNNNNNNNNNNNNNNNNNNNGCGGAAAAAGGCCACAAAUACGGGUGGGCUAUAGCCUUGGGGGGGGGGGCUGGCCAACUUCGUCCGUUGGACUCGGAAUUGCGCGAGACUUUACGAGGCACCUCCGUGUACCAAAAAUAACCGCCCGAAGGCCGGGGCGCCAAGUUCGUCCAGCGGAAAAAGGCCACAAAAACGGGUGGGCUAUAGCCUUGGGGGGAGGGGCUGGCCAACUUCGUCCGCCGGACUGGGAAUGGCGCGAGAGUUUGCGAUGCGCCUCCGUGUACCAAAAAUAGGCCGCGGGCACAGCCGUGCCCAAAAAUAACCGCCAGAAGGCCGGGGCGCCAAGUUCGUCCAGCGGAAAAAGGCCACAAAUUGGGGUGCGUUAUAGCCUUGGGGGGGGGGGGGCUGGCCAACUUCGUCUGCCAGACUUGGAAUUGCACGAUACUUUGCGAGGCACAUCCGUGUGCCAAAAAUAGGCCGCGGGCACAGCCGCGCCCAAAAAUAACCGCCCGAAGGCCGGGGCGCCACGUUUGUCCUGCGGAAAAAGGCCACAAAUACGGGUGGGCUAUAGCCUUGGGGGGUGGGGAUGGCCAACUUCGUCUGCCGGACUCGCAAUGGUGCGAGACUUUACGAGGCACCUCCGUGUGCCAAAAAUAGGUCGCGGGCACAGCCGCACCCAAAAAUAACCGCCCGAAGGCCGGGGCGCCAAGUUCGUCCAGCGGAAAAAGGCCACAAAAACGGGUGGGCUAUAGCCUUGGGGGGAGGGGCUGUCCAACUUCGUCCGCCGGACUGGGAAUGGCGCGAGGAUUUGCGAUGCGCCUCCGUGUGCCAAAAAUAGGCCGCGGGCACAGCCGCGCCCAAAAAUAACCGCCCGAAGGUCGG